rnacentral:rRNA from 1 species
UACGGAGGGGGCUAGCGUUGUUCGGAAUUACUGGGCGUAAAGCGCACGUAGGCGGCUUUGUAAGUUAGAGGUGAAAGCCCAGGGCUUAACCCUGGAAUUGCCUUUAAGACUGCAUCGCUAGAAUCGUGGAGAGGUGAGUGGAAUUCCGAGUGUAGAGGUGAAAUUCGUAGAUAUUCGGAAGAACACCAGUGGCGAAGGCGACUCACUGGACACGUAUUGACGCUGAGGUGCGAAAGUGUGGGGAGCAAACAGG